CCUGACCCCUCCGGACCACUUCCCUAGAGGGCAUCCUGUGCCCGACUGCUGGGCUGGCAUUUGCAGAGUACAGAUCUAGGCUGUCUGGAUUAUACUACACAUGAAGAGCCUACUGUUUGCAAAAAUUGACUUUUCUUUCCCGCGGCCACGCUGCAAAGGAUGGAGCUCCAGCAGCGAAGCAGCAGUCACUGGUCUAGCUGAAGAGGAAGGAGCCAGGCUCCUGCUUCGUAACCGAGGCAUCUAGCAUCCAGCCAAAGAACUUUUUUGCCUCUGACUAAGGAGCCACUGGUUAUCGGAGCCGGCUCAAUUGAAUACCCAUUCGGAUGAAAGAGUGAAGUAUAAAAUAACAAGGUAGCACAAAAAGCUGGGAAGAGGGACUCGAUGAGAUCACGUAGACGCCCCCAGGAUCAGAUCCUAAAUGCCGA
rnacentral:lncRNA from 1 species